rnacentral:rRNA from 1 species
UACAGAAGGUGCAAGCGUUAAUCGGAAUUACUGGGCGUAAAGGGUGCGUAGGUGGUUGAUUAAGUUAAGUGUGAAAGCCCCGGGCUUAACCUGGGAACUGCGCUUAAUACUGAUUGACUAGAGUACUGUAGAGGAAGGUGGAAUUUCCAGUGUAGCGGUGAAAUGCGUAGAUAUUGGAAGGAACAUCAGUGGCGAAGGCGACUUUCUGGACAGAUACUGACACUGAGGCACGAAAGCAUGGGGAGCAAACAGG